GACGAACGCUGGCGGCGUGCUUAACACAUGCAAGUCGAACGGAAAGGCCCUGCUUUUGUGGGGUGCUCGAGUGGCGAACGGGUGAGUAACACGUGAGUAACCUGCCCUUGACUUUGGGAUAACUUCAGGAAACUGGGGCUAAUACCGGAUAGGAGCUCCUGCUGCAUGGUGGGGGUUGGAAAGUUUCGGCGGUUGGGGAUGGACUCGCGGCUUAUCAGCUUGUUGGUGGGGUAGUGGCUUACCAAGGCUUUGACGGGUAGCCGGCCUGAGAGGGUGACCGGCCACAUUGGGACUGAGAUACGGCCCAGACUCCUACGGAGGGCAGCAGUGGGGAAUAUUGCACAAUGGGCGGAAGCCUGAUGCAGCAGCGCCGCGUGCGGGAUGACGGCCUUCAGGUUGUAAACCGCUUUCGCCUGUGACGAAGCGUGAGUGACGGUAAUGGGUAAAGAAGCACCGGCUAACUACGUG
rnacentral:rRNA from 1 species